AUGGAAAAGGGCACCCUCUGGAAACUCCUCCAUCCCUGGAAGAUGAUGGCUGCAAGGUGGGUGCAGGAGGGGUCAUUCAGACAAGGCCCUAAGUUAUCCUUGUCUCUCUCCUGCCCGUGGAUGGUCCUUGGCUGCUGCUUGGAAGCAUAUCCUGGAGCCUUUAAGAGCAGAAGGAUCUCUCAGCCUCCUUUGCAUGGUGACAAGCCCAGCAUCCGGGGACUUUCAGAAACCCUCCAUUUAUUAAAUUAGAGCAUUGGACAAAGAAUACAUUUGACCUACUUUACCACUGGAUUGUGAGAAGAAACUCUUUUGGAUCCAGCAAGAAGGGACCUUGCCAAUAGUGGAGACUGCUGGGAGUACCAGGCACAGGAAGAUGCCCUCCCCCUUUGCCAUCUCCUGUAACUCAGCUUAUGCUCCUGCUAAGUUAGUACUGGCCUCCUUGGACAGCUGAGUAAAGUGAGGUUCCAAAGGGGUGGAGGCAUUUGUCAUGGUAUAGCCUAGAGCAGUGUGAGUCUCAGAGUGUAGUCCCCCACAAGCACCAUCAACAACACCUGGGAACUCAGGCGCCACCCAGACCUACCAAGUCAGAAACACAACUGGUGGGGCCCAGAAAUCUGUGUCCAAAAUCAGCAGCGAUGGUGAUGUACACUCAAGUUUGCAAAUGGCCUGCGGCUCUGGGGCCUAGGGCCAGACAUGUGGAAACUUCCCAAAGCGCUUUAGCAAGUGAGAAGCAGGGCUGUCGACAGUGCUAGAUACAAAUGAGAGGAACAGGGAACGCUGAACAUCCUCAUCUCCUUUAUUUCCCAACUGUAUGGUUUUGGGGAGUGACCAAGAAACUGGAAGGGGUAAAACAGGACUUGACUCUGUUCAGCUGUCCCAUGAUGUUGAUGCCAAGGGCUCCAUUCUGCUGAAUUAGCCUGUGAUUCUGAGUUGAAGGCCAUCUGCUUUAUGAGAGUAGAGAAGAAUGCAGAAAAGCUAGACAAGGAUUUUUCCCAGCUGCUUCUGGCCACACCAUCAAGUGUCUUCCUAACAGAGAAUGGCCCUCUGUCUACGGCCAUACCACCCUGAACACACCCGAUCUCGUCUGAUCUCGGAAGCUAAGCAGGGUCGGGCCUGGUUAGUACUUGGAUGGGAGAAUCGCCCUCCCCUGGGUGGAUUCCA
rnacentral:lncRNA from 13 species